rnacentral:rRNA from 1 species
UACGUAGGGUGCAAGCGUUAAUCGGAAUUACUGGGCGUAAAGCGUGCGCAGGCGGUUAUGCAAGUCAGGUGUGAAAUCCCCGGGCUUAACCUGGGAAUUGCGCUUGAAACUAGCGGGCUUGAGUGUGGCAGAGGGGGGUGGAAUUCCACGUGUAGCAGUGAAAUGCGUAGAGAUGUGGAGGAACACCGAUGGCGAAGGCAGCCCCCUGGGUCAACACUGACGCUCAUGCACGAAAGCGUGGGGAGCAAACAGG